rnacentral:rRNA from 1 species
AGGAACCUUACCCGGGAUUGAAAUGUAGAUGACGGAUGGUGAAAACCGUCUUCCCUUCGGGGCGUCUAUGUAGGUGCUGCAUGGUUGUCGUCAGCUCGUGCCGUGAGGUGUCGGCUUAAGUGCCAUAACGAGCGCAACCCACAUCGGUAGU